rnacentral:rRNA from 1 species
CAGUAGCCGCGGUAAAACGGAGGGUGCAAGCGUUAAUCGGAAUUGCUGGGCGUAAAGCGCACGCAGGCGGUUUGUUAAGUCAGAUGUGAAAUCCCCGAGCUUAACUUGGGAACUGCAUUUGAAACUGGCAAGCUAGAGUCUUGUAGAGGGGGGUAGAAUUCCAGGUGUAGCGGUGAAAUGCGUAGAGAUCUGGAGGAAUACCGGUGGCGAAGGCGGCCCCCUGGACGAAGACUGACGCUCAGGUGCGAAAGCGUGGGGAGCAAACAGGAUUAGAUACCCCUGUGUCCCUGUCUCUUAUACA